rnacentral:rRNA from 1 species
AGAGUUUGAUCCUGGCUCAGGACGAACGCUGGCGGUGUGCUUAACACAUGCAAGUCGAACGGUAAGGCCCUUUCGGGGGUACACGAGUGGCGAACGGGUGAGUAACACGUGAGUAACCUGCCCUCAUCUCUGGGAUAACAGUCGGAAACGGUUGCUAAUACUGGAUAUGAGCUUGCAAGGCAUCUUGUGGGUUGGAAAGAUUUUUUUGGUUGGGGAUGGACUCGCGGCCUAUCAGCUUGUUGGUGAGGUAGUGGCUCACCAAGGCUUCGACGGGUAGCCGGCCUGAGAGGGCGACCGGCCACAUUGGGACUGAGAUACGGCCCAAACUCCUACGGGAGGCAGCAGUGGGGAAUAUUGCACAAUGGACGGAAGUCUGAUGCAGCAACGCCGCGUGCGGGAUGACGGCCUUCGGGUUGUAAACCGCUUUCAAUUGUGACGAAGCUUUUUGUGACGGUAGCAGUAGAAGAAGCACCGGCUAACUACGUGCCAGCAGCCGCGGUGAUACGUAGGGUGCGAGCGUUGUCCGGAUUUAUUGGGCGUAAAGAGCUUGUAGGCGGUUUGUCGCGUCGGGAGUGAAAACUUGGGGCUUAACCCUGAGCUUGCUUUCGAUACGGGCUGACUUGAGGGAGGUAGGGGAGAAUGGAAUUCCUGGUGGAGCGGUGGAAUGCGCAGAUAUCAGGAGGAACACCGGUGGCGAAGGCGGUUCUCUGGACCUUUCCUGACGCUGAGAAGCGAAAGCGUGGGGAGCGAACAGGCUUAGAUACCCUGGUAGUCCACGCCGUAAACGGUGGGUACUAGGUGUGGGGGACAUUCCACGUUCUCCGUGCCGUAGCUAACGCAUUAAGUACCCCGCCUGGGGAGUACGGCCGCAAGGCUAAAACUCAAAGGAAUUGACGGGGCCCCGCACAAGCGGCGGAGCAUGCGGAUUAAUUCGAUGCAACGCGAAGAACCUUA